rnacentral:rRNA from 1 species
UAGGGAAUCUUCGGCAAUGGGAGCAACCCUGACCGAGCAACGCCGCGUGAGUGAAGAAGGUUUUUCGGAUCGUAAAGCUCUGUUGUAAGAGAAGAACGUGUGUGAGAGUGGAAAGUUCACACAGUGACGGUAACUUACCAGAAAGGGACGGCUAACUACGUGCCAG